rnacentral:rRNA from 1 species
GUCCUAAACCUAGCCCAACCAUCUCUCAUGACUUAAACUUCUAUUUCUGAGCAACUAAAACAUUUUUAUAUUUUAGUAGAGGCGAUCGAAAAAUCAUCCGGCGCUUUAGAUACAGUACCGCAAGGGAAAGUUGAAAUAAUAAUGAAAUACCCCAAAAACAAAACAAAGCAAAGAUUCAACCUUGUACCUUUCGCAUCAUGGUCUAGCCAGUCAAACCAAGCAAAAAGAACAUAAAGUUUGACCCCCCGAAACUAAGUGAGCUACUUCAAAACAGCCUCAUGGGCAAACCCAUCUCUGUUGCAAAAGAGUGGGAAGAUUUUCAAGUAGAGGUGACAAACCUACCGAACUUAGAGAUAGCUGGUUAUUUAGGAAAAGGAUGUUAGUCCUACUUUAAGUUUUUAAUAACACAUAAUAUUCCCACAAACUUAAAAGCCAUUCAAAUAGGGUCCAGCUUAUUUGAACAAGGAUUCAACCUAAUAAACAGGGUAAUGUUCCCACUUAAAUGACGAAGUGGGCCUAAAAGCAGCCACCUUUAUAAAAGCGUCAAAGCUUUCUCAUAAUUUAAACCAAUCCCAACAAUCUUACAAAACCCUUACCCCCUACUAAAUGAUUUCAUAACAUUAUGAAAAACCCUAUGCUAGAACUAGUAACAAGAAGAAGACCUUCUCCUUAAAUGUAAACAUAAACCGGACUGAACACAUCACCGGAACUUACCGUCAAUGGAAAUACUAUAGCAACUCCCCAAGAAAAACCUAUUCCACCAAACGUUAACCCAACACAAGAACAUUUCAGGAAAGAUUAAAAAAAGAGGAAGGAACUCGGCAAAUAAUUAACCCCGCCUGUUUACCAAAAACAUCGCCUUGUGACUAAAUAUACAAGGUCCAGCCUGCCCAGUGAUUUAUUUCAACGGCCGCGGUACCCUAACCGUGCAAAGGUAGCACAAUCACUUGUUCCCUAAAUAGGGACUAGUAUGAACGGCAUCACGAGGGUUACUCUGUCUCCCCCUUUUAAUCAAUGAAACUGAUCUCCCCGUGAAGAAGCGAGGAUAUCAAUAUAAGACGAGAAGACCCCAUGGAGCUUUAAACUCAGAAACACCCGCCACGCAGUAACCAAAUUAACCAAGCCUCUCUGUUUCCUAGUUUUCGGUUGGGGUGACCACGGAGCACAACACAACCUCCAUGAUGAACGGAACUACCAAAUUCCUUACUCAAGAACUACAGUUCGAAAAACCAAUACAUUGACAUAAUUGAUCCAAAUUAUUUUGAUCAACGAACCAAGUUACCCUGGGGAUAACAGCGCAAUCCAUUUCAAGAGCCCAUAUCGACAAAUGGGUUUACGACCUCGAUGUUGGAUCAGGGUAUCCUAGUGGUGCAGCCGCUACUAAAGGUUCGUUUGUUCAACGAUUAAAACCCU